CAGCAGCCGCGGUAAUACGUAUGUCACAAGCGUUAUCCGGAUUUAUUGGGCGUAAAGCGCGUCUAGGUGGUUAUGUAAGUCUGAUGUGAAAAUGCAGGGCUCAACUCUGUAUUGCGUUGGAAACUGUGUAACUAGAGUACUGGAGAGGUAAGCGGAACUACAAGUGUAGAGGUGAAAUUCGUAGAUAUUUGUAGGAAUGCCGAUGGGGAAGCCAGCUUACUGGACAGAUACUGACGCUGAAGCGCGAAAGCGUGGGUAGCAAACAGGAUUAGAUACCCGUGUAGUCCCUGUCUCUUAUACA
rnacentral:rRNA from 1 species